AGAAGAAGAAGAAAAAAAAUCACCCUGGUGUUUGGGUCUGAUUUCUCAGCUCAUUAAUCCUCCCUCUGGUCAUACAGUGUGUCUCGCAGACUGGCAUCAUUUAGCUAUCUUGGAGCAUAAAGUAUUUUGUCCCAGCCGGAAUGUGUGCAGGACAGCUUAAAAUGCUGCUGAUGCUUGGAGAUGGCUUGGCCCUGGACACAUGUGGUGGAACGGAAGAUGAAGGAAGGGAGCUGAGAGGAGUCAAAGGCAGACUUGGAUGAUAAAGGGUGUGGAGAAUCUGAAGCUGACUGCUUGCCCACCUGGAGUGCAUCAAAGUUGCCACUGCUGGCCUGGCAGCUGCACCCUGGGAUAUCGGACACCCCGGAGAUGACGAGUCUGAUGAAUCUGUGGGCUCCCUGCCCUGUGGCCUUGGUCAGAUCCAUCCUAGUGGGAAACAAGUGUGUCUGACUGACCCAGACCAAACACACUUCAAACUUACACUCACACACACACACAAACGCACACUUCCUGUGGCCUCUACUGCCAACCGCAUCAUUAAUACCAAUUGGCCUUUCUUUAUGGCUGCAAAUAUUUUUCACAUGUUCUCGGAUCACCUUGGGUCUUUCUGGCCACAAUAAAAGCUCUCCUUUCUUUGUAGUCCUAAUAGCAAAAAGGGACAUUUGUUAACAUUAUUUGUGAGACUUUUGAAGCCAUAUAGCGGAGUUCUGUUUCAGGGUGUGUAAGCACUUGUUUAUUGUACCUGAGUAGACAAACCUUAUUGAAACCAAAGUCUGACCCUUAAGUUCGGGCCCCCAUUUUUAAUGUGAGUAGUAAUAGUGUAUAUUAUUUACAUUUGUUGAUACUAAGGUUUGAGUACAGUACUGUAUUUACAUGGAAAAUAUAUGUGUGUAUUUCUCUACUAGAGUCUACUUUUACAACUAAUUAUGGAGCCGUUUAAGGUUAGCAAUAUGUCGGUAACAGUUAGGGGAAAGGCAGAAACACAGUUACUUAAUUAAACAUCAGUUUUUGUAAACACCUGAUAUGGGUAGAAUGGCUUUUGGAGACGGAGGAGGGGCAGCUCCACUUCUGCAAUGUCUGUUUGAUGAUUCCUUUAUUGUGUCUACAACACAGCUAGUGGCGGGUCUUUAAAAUCCAAUAAGCCAGACACACAUAGGCUCAUUGUCAAAAAGGCAGGACAUGGAGGUGUUUACACUUGACAUAUUAAUAAGUUGAACUGUGGGGAUAUCUGUAGACAAAUCUCCAUUUGGUUCAUUUAACAAUUACAAACACUUUGGAUGGAAAUGAAGAGAAAGAGCCAAACUGACCUGCAUCCAACAAGUGUUGGCUGCCCGGGGGUCUAUACUCAGAACUCUGAUUAGCAUGAUAAGAAGGAAGAAACACAUCCAAACAUUGUUUACCUUUGAAACAACACCGUCAGUCUUGGUGCUUUCAUUUGAGCUAUACUGUAUAAAUACUUCUCAGAAAAAGCUGAGAGAAAACAACAAUAACUCAGUGACAGAUACGUAGAAAACUCAGUGUGGUGGAUUCUGUGUUUUACAGGUCAGACAGUCUUUAUCCUCAUUUCUUCCCUUAGCUCCUGCUUUCUACUGCUUUGUUUUCAUGUCACAGUUUCUCAGAAAGUGGGAAGCCCUGAUGCCAAUGUGCUGUGUUUUCUUUUCACUCAGCAUAUUAUACAUGGCUUCACUCUACCCUGAUGCUGGUAUCAGCUUUGUGCAAGUAAGUUUUGCCUUUGUCUGCAUCUGGACGAGCACAAUUGCUAAAGGUACCACUUGUACGUGCAUAAGAGCCAACCUUUUGCCAAGAAACAAACCAUGUUCAGUUUAUCAGAUCAGAGUUUGCCAGUACUUUGAGUCCACUCCCUUCCUCAUAAUUCAUCAUAUCUAAACAAAGACAAAACAGUCCAAGAUUUUAAUUAUAUGAUUGGCACUUUUACGACUGCAGUUAAGUUUGCAAACCGUCAUGAGAUGUGUUAUGUGUGAAAGUCAGGCCCUAUAUGUUAGAAGCAGAACAUAUUUUCAUGAUCAAAUCAAUCCAUGUUUUUUUUAAUCCAUGUUUAUUGAUAGAAAAGGUAUAUUUAAUAUGUAUGGAUAUUUUGAAGUGUUGUUCCUCAAAGUAAGAAAAAAAAGUAAGAAAUUAAGUCUAAACAGAUGCUCCAUGCUACAUAUCCACAUAG